UUAUGUUUUAUGCGCCAUAAAAUUUUACUAUCAGUGUGGCGUAGUAACAAUUGUUACCAGAUGCCACCGGUAGGCGGAGCGUAUAGCUCGUGAGCUGUUUGGGAAACAUGGCAGACUUCAGGUACAGCAAACACGGCCUGAGAAAAGUUUGUGUCGAGAUUCAUUAAUGCGAAAUACUCCCCCCUUAAUAACGUUAAAUGUGUAUUAGUGAGUUUGUCAGUUAGUGUCUACACUUGCCUAGGACAGCAAUCGUCUUUUAGCAUGUUAAUUGCAUCGUUAGGUAAUGUAGCUAGCAAACUGUAACCAGUGCUAAUUGUACUUACGACGGAGUAUCCAGUUAGCGAUCACCCGACAGUGGCCUGAUGCUCUAACUCUGGCACUUCAUCACCUAUUGUGAUUUACUUCAUGACAACACCAACGAAAAUGGCAACACAAUCGACCAAGCUCAGGCGUGUGGAGUCAUGAGUCAUUCUGGAAACACAAAGCAACACAGCAGCAGUGAGGUGAUGGAGCGUCUCUUCAUGGGGGGAGGACACCGUGGUCUACUCAAGAGUCUCAAAAUUGGACCAACACAUGAGUUGAUACUGAAGCUGACAGGAAACAAUGGGAAAGAGAGACGGAUAUGACUUGCAACAAAGGUCCCCAGCAGAAAUAAGACCAGGGACUCUGAUUACGAGAGGGAAACUCAGGAGCCUUUCCCUCCUCCAAAACCCUCAGCAGAAGCCACAUUUCUCAGUGUAUUUGAUCGCCACAUCCAGCACCUGAACUAAACUGAUGUAUGGAGCUGAUUCCUGGCGGGCCACGCUGCGUUGCCUGGAUUUGUUUAACCCGGCAGAUCAACCUUCAGACAGGAGCAUGUGUGCAGGUAAUGGCUGCCAGAUGAGGUGAGGCCAGCUCUUAGAGGCCUAGUGGAUGCUACAGAAGAGGAACGAAAAGAGCACUCACACAUGCAUGCAUAUACAAACAAGCACAUAGCCCCAGGAGCUGUUAUGAAAGACAACA